CUACGGGAUGCUGCAGUGGGGAAUAUUGCACAAUGGGCGCAAGCCUGAUGCAGCCAUGCCGCGUGUAUGAAGAAGGCCUUCGGGUUGUAAAGUACUUUCAGCGGGGAGGAAGGGAGUAAAGUUAAUACCUUUGCUCAUUGACGUUACCCGCAGAAGAAGCACCGGCCAACUCCGUGCCAGCAGCCGCGGUAAUACGGAGGGUGCAAGCGUUAAUCGGAAUUACUGGGCGUAAAGCGCACGCAGGCGGUUUGUUAAGUCAGAUGUGAAAUCCCCGGGCUCAACCUGGGAACUGCAUCUGAUACUGGCAAGCUUGAGUCUCGUAGAGGGGGGUAGAAUUCCAGGUGUAGCGGUGAAAUGCGUAGAGAUCUGGAGGAAUACCGGUGGCGAAGGCGGCCCCCUGGACGAAGACUGACGCUCAGGUGCGAAAGCGUGGAGAGCAAACAGGAUUAGAUACCCGAGUAGUC
rnacentral:rRNA from 1 species